rnacentral:rRNA from 1 species
CCUACGGGAGGCAGCAGUCGAGAAUCAUUCACAAUGGGGGAAACCCUGAUGGUGCGACGCCGCGUGGGGGAAUGAAGGUCUUCGGAUUGUAAACCCCUGUCAUGUGGGAGCAAAUUAAAAAGAUAGUACCACAAGAGGAAGAGACGGCUAACUCUGUGCCAGCAGCCGCGGUAAUACAGAGGUCUCAAGCGUUGUUCGGAAUCACUGGGCGUAAAGCGUGCGUAGGCUGUUUCGUAAGUCGUGUGUGAAAGGCGCGGGCUCAACCCGCGGACGGCACAUGAUACUGCGAGACUAGAGUAAGGGAGGGGGAACCGGAAUUCUUGGUGUAGCAGUGAAAUGCGUAGAUAUCGAGAGGAACACUCGUGGCGAAGGCGGGUUCCUGGACAUUAACUGACGCUGAGGCACGAAGGCCAGGGGAGCGAAAGGGAUUAGAUACCCCUGUAGUC